rnacentral:rRNA from 1 species
CCACGGGUGGCUGCAGUGGGGAAUAUUGCACAAUGGGCGCAAGCCUGAUGCAGCCAUGCCGCGUGUAUGAAGAAGGCCUUCGGGUUGUAAAGUACUUUCAGCGGGGAGGAAGGGAGUAAAGUUAAUACCUUUGCUCAUUGACGUUACCCGCAGAAGAAGCACCGGCUAACUCCGUGCCAGCAGCCGCGGUAAUACGGAGGGUGCAAGCGUUAAUCGGAAUUACUGGGCGUAAAGCGCACGCAGGCGGUUUGUUAAGUCAGAUGUGAAAUCCCCGGGCUCAACCUGGGAACUGCAUCUGAUACUGGCAAGCUUGAGUCUCGUAGAGGGGGGUAGAAUUCCAGGUGUAGCGGCGAAAUGCGUAGAGAUCUGGAGGAAUACCGGUGGCGAAGGCGGCCCCCUGGACGAAGACUGACACUCAGGUGCGAAAGCGUGGGGAGCAAACAGGAUUAGAUACCCCUGUAGUC